rnacentral:rRNA from 4 species
GGGUUGUGAGGUUAAGCGACUAAGCGUACACGGUGGAUGCCCUGGCAGUCAGAGGCGAUGAAGGGCGUGCUAAUCUGCGAUAAGCGCCGGUAAGGUGAUAUGAACCGUUAUAACCGGCGAUACCCGAAUGGGGAAACCCAGUGUGAUUCGUCACACUAUCAUUACGUGAAUACAUAGCGUAAUGAAGCGAACCGGGGGAACUGAAACAUCUAAGUACCCCGAGGAAAAGAAAUCAACCGAGAUUCCCCCAGUAGCGGCGAGCGAACGGGGAGGAGCCCAGAGCCUGAAUCAGCAUGUGUGUUAGUGGAAGCGUCUGGAAAGGCGCGCGAUACAGGGUGACAGCCCCGUACACAAAAGCGCAUGUGUUGUGAGCUCGAUGAGUAGGGCGGGACACGUGGUAUCCUGUCUGAAUAUGGGGGGACCAUCCUCCAAGGCUAAAUACUCCUGACUGACCGAUAGUGAACCAGUACCGUGAGGGAAAGGCGAAAAGAACCCCGGCGAGGGGAGUGAAAAAGAACCUGAAACCGUGUACGUACAAGCAGUGGGAGCACCCUUUGGGGUGUGACUGCGUACCUUUUGUAUAAUGGGUCAGCGACUUAUAUUCUGUAGCAAGGUUAACCGAAUAGGGGAGCCGGAGGGAAACCGAGUCUUAAUUGGGCGUUAAGUUGCAGGGUAUAGACCCGAAACCCGGUGAUCUAGCCAUGGGCAGGUUGAAGGUUGGGUAACACUAACUGGAGGACCGAACCGACUAAUGUUGAAAAAUUAGCGGAUGACCUGUGGCUGGGGGUGAAAGGCCAAUCAAACCGGGAGAUAGCUGGUUCUCCCCGAAAGCUAUUUAGGUAGCGCCUCGUGAACUCAUCUCCGGGGGUAGAGCACUGUUUCGGCUAGGGGGCCAUCCCGGCUUACCAACCCGAUGCAAACUGCGAAUACCGGAGAAUGUUAUCACGGGAGACACACGGCGGGUGCUAACGUCCGUCGUGAAGAGGGAAACAACCCAGACCGCCAGCUAAGGUCCCAAAGUCAUAGUUAAGUGGGAAACGAUGUGGGAAGGCCCAGACAGCCAGGAUGUUGGCUUAGAAGCAGCCAUCAUUUAAAGAAAGCGUAAUAGCUCACUGGUCGAGUCGGCCUGCGCGGAAGAUGUAACGGGGCUAAACUAUGCACCGAAGCUGCGGCAGCGACACUAUGUGU